rnacentral:lncRNA from 1 species
GGAUAAUUCGAGUCAUUUACAAUUCAAUUUGGCUUUCACUAGAUAACAUCAUAUACUAUCACAUUGAGCCAUUAUUUAUCUCAUGAACAUCUAGUUGACGCUUUCUAUUCACAUUUUCAUAUUCAAUUCACUAUUUCUUCCUGUCAAUCACAAUUUCGAAUGACAGAUUCAUGUAAAUGAGCUCAAUAUCAUUAGCUGUUUAAUUUCUGUCACUUAAAUUCACAUGCACAUAAUUUAUUAACAUAACUUGUCAAACACAAUCUCUGAAUGAUAAGAUCACAUAAUUGAGCUCAAUUUCACUGUUCAAUAUGUUUUAUCACAUAAAAUUUGCUUAACACUUACCACAAUUUGACAAAUUAGAGAACGUCUUACGGAAUUGAGUACUUCGUUUUCACAUUGCCAUAGUAUAAUUAUGGUCUUGCACAUUGUCUCGUAUCACACACCAAAGCCAUAGCAUAGCUAUGGUCUUACACGGAAACACAUAUUACACCGAUGCCAUAUCCCAGAUAUGGUCUUACAGGAAAGCACAUAGUCACAUCUUCACAUGUUGCCAUGGUCAAACCAUGGUCUUUACCGUCAAUUCAUCACAUAUCACUGAACGAAAGUACUCAUUCCUGCAUUCUACUCAAUUUGACCUUUUAGUUUCUUUUUCGUACUUUUACAAUAUUCACACUUUAAAUAUGAACAUAUGAAAUGAUUUAUCAUUUCUUUCAUUUACCAACAAGUAAUUAUUAAAUUCAGCUAUAUGAACUUACAAUUCGAUUUUAUAACAUAACGAUGAUCAUAAUUUCAUAAUAACUAUUUGAAAUAAAACAUUAUAUCAUUUCUAAUUCAACGUUUAUAGAUUAUAAUCGGGCAUAUGACCAAUUUAUACACAAGUCUUUCAUAUAUUUUUCUCCUCCUCCUUUCUAUUCCACUUCCUUAUUGUACAUAACACGCUUAUAAGUAACAUUAUCUAUAAUUUCACUAUUUAUUUAUAUGUAUAUUCAAACUUGUCCAUCUGUGUCAUAGUCACUAAAUUAUUUUUAUCUUGAGCUACAGAACUCCAAAUUAAGAUCUGCUAAAUUCCUCUGAAGCUAGACUCAUAUAUCUUCUUACCAUAAAAUUUUCAGAAUUUAUGGCUUAGCCAAUAAGUACAGUUUAUGCUUUAAAGUCAUCCCUGUUCUGCUAUCUGACAGUUUCCACCAUUCUUCACUAAAAAUUAAUUAUCUCCUCGUACGGGAUUCAGAUGAUGUUUCCGUUUGUUUCUAUUGAAAAUAAAUUCAUUAAGAAUUUUAAAAAAUAAAUUUAAGCCCUUAAUUAUUUUUCUCCAAUUUUUUAUGAUUUUCCAAAAUCAAAAUAGGGGAACCCCAAAUCAUUUUGACCUUGUCUCACAAAAUUUAUUAUAUCUCAUAAUUUAUAAUUUCAUUGCUUACACCGUUUCUUCUAUGAGAAACUAGACUCAAUAAGCUUUAAUUUCAUAUUUUAUCCAUCUUCUAAUUCGAUUCCCACAAUUUUUGGUGAUUUUUCAAAGUUAGACCACUGCUGCUGCCCAAAACUGUUUUAGUGCAAAAUAUUGAUUACCAAUUUGACCCUAAACUUUUAAUACAUGACAAUUUCAUCCCUAGGCUCGAAAAAUGAAAUUCUUACAAUUUAAUCCUUGAUCCAAGCCUAAUAAUUCUCAUACAUAUCAGUAACAGCCCAUGGAUUCCAUAAAAUUUUAGAAUUUUUUCACAAAUUCAAUACUUUUCAAUUUAAUACCUAAAACAUGUUUUCAUCCAAACUUCUCUAAUAAAACACCUUUAAACAUCCAUUAACAUCUCAAUUUCAUCAUAAAAUAACAAAAAUCAUAUGAACUUAUCAUUGGUAUCUUCCAAAACUUUCAAAAAAAUGAGAAACUAGUAGAAUACUAAGUUGGAUCUAAUUGUAAAAGUCUCAAAAUAUAAAAAUUUCAAGGAAAAAGCAAGAAUUAAACUUACUUGAAGCAAAAAUAUGGAAUACCAGCUCCAAACCCUCUUCCAUGGCUGUUUCCCACCGAAAUUUCAAGAAGAAAUGGUCUUGAAAUCCUUAAAAUAAAAUUUGGCC